rnacentral:other from 1 species
AUACUCCUGCGCUGUUCGCGAAUCGGUCUUUUAUAACCCCACAAGUUUAUUUAUAGGGAUCCGGGCUCGGGCAGUGGGCUUGCAGACCUCCCGCGGCGGUGCCGAGUUCGGAAGAAGGGAGCGCGAAGCUGUCCGGACGGAACCCACCUGAACAAAAGUCAGGUUAUUUAUCAGCCGUUACGGCAGCGCGGGAGCGGC